UGUCUUGCUGUUGCUGGCGUCAAGACUUUGUGUUUUCCCAGCUAUAUAUAUGUAUAAGAAAAAUAAAUUAGAAGUUAGAAAUUAAGAUUAUGGAUAUAAGAAUAUGAUCAUUACGAAGGUGAUGAUAGUAAGCAAAUGAGAAAACGAUUAUUUAUAUAUACGCAUAGUUUCAUAAAACAUACAUCCAUGUAGAGGAGCGAGAGAAAUUGCGAUGAUGAAAAGGAUCGCAUAAUGUGAUGAUGACAUUUCUUGUGAAGAUUUCUCAAAAACAAUUUUCGUUUUUUUUUUGGUUUUUUGUUGUUGUUGUUUUUUUUUUUUUUUUGGUUAUUUUUUGUUAUUUCCUUUUUUUGGUUUUU
rnacentral:lncRNA from 1 species